AAGGGUAUAGCUCAAGUGGUAGAGCACAUGCUUAGCAUGCACAAGGUCCUGGGUUCAAUCCCCAGUGCCUCCU
rnacentral:tRNA from 1 species